AAGCUUUUCGGUUCCGGGGGGAAGUAUGAUGCAAAGUUGAAACUUAAAGGAAUUGACGGAAAGGGCACCACCAGGAGUGGAGCCUGCGGCUUAAUUUGACUCAACACGGGAAACCUCACCAGGCCCCGGACACCGGAAAGAUUGACAGAUUGAGAGCUCUUUCUUGAUUCGGUGGGUGGUGGUGCAUGGCCGUUCUUAGUUGGUGGAGCGAUCUGUCUGGUUAAUUCCGAUAACGAACGAGACUCUGUCCUGCUAACUAGGCGGGUAAAACCCGGGUCGGCGUGUGCGCGGCGCUGGCGGUUUCGGCCGUCAGUGUUCGCGUACCCGUCGGCUCGGCCCGGUAUCCCCGAACGCGUUCGCCCGUCGUCCACGGCGGUCGUCGGGCGCGGCCGCGCCAUCCGCGUCCCGGCGUUCGGCGGGCGUAUGUCGGCCGGGGGGCAACCUCCGGUCGGCCUGCGUCCGUCGUGCGUCGGGCUCCGUGGUGAAGCGCGCCGUGUUCGCGGCCGUCGCCGGCGGAUCACGAUACGUUACUAGGGCUACCGCCGGCUCCCAGGAGCUUAAACUCUUCUUAGAGGGACAGGCGGCGGACGAACAUAGCCGCACGAGACUGAGCGAUAACAGGUCUGUGAUGCCCUUAGAUGUUCUGGGCCGCACGCGCGCUACACUGAAGGAAUCAGCGUGUUUAACAAUCCUGGGCCGACAGGCUUCCGGGUAACCCGCUGAACCUCCUUCGUGCUUAGGGAUCGUGGCUUGCAAUUUUUCCACGUGAACGAG
rnacentral:ncRNA from 1 species